rnacentral:rRNA from 1 species
GAUGAACGCUGGCGGCGUGCCUAAUACAUGCAAGUCGAGCGAACAGACGAGGAGCUUGCUCCUCUGACGUUAGCGGCGGACGGGUGAGUAACACGUGGAUAACCUACCUAUAAGACUGGGAUAACUUCGGGAAACCGGAGCUAAUACCGGAUAAUAUAUUGAACCGCAUGGUUCAAUAGUGAAAGACGGUUUUGCUGUCACUUAUAGAUGGAUCCGCGCCGCAUUAGCUAGUUGGUAAGGUAACGGCUUACCAAGGCAACGAUGCGUAGCCGACCUGAGAGGGUGAUCGGCCACAUUGGAACUGAGACACGGUCCAGACUCCUACGGGAGGCAGCAGUAGGGAAUCUUCCGCAAUGGGCGAAAGCCUGACGGAGCAACGCCGCGUGAGUGAUGAAGGUCUUCGGAUCGUAAAACUCUGUUAUGAGGGAAGAACAAAUGUGUAAGGAACUAUGCACGUCUUGACGGUACCUAAUAAGAAAGCCACGGCUAACUACGUG